rnacentral:rRNA from 1 species
GACGAACGCUGGCGGCGUGCUUAACACAUGCAAGUCGAACGGAAAGGCCCUGCUUUUGUGGUGUGCUCGAGUGGCGAACGGGUGAGUAACACGUGAGUAACCUGCCCUUGACUUUGGGAUAACUUCAGGAAACUGGGGCUAAUACCGGAUAGGACCUCCUGCUGCAUGGUGUGGGUUGGAAAGUUUCGGCGGUUGGGGAUGGACUCGCGGCUUAUCAGCUUGUUGGUUGGGUAGUGGCUUACAAAGGCUUGGACGGGUAGCCGGCCUGAGGGGGUGACCGGCAACAUUGGGACUGAGAUACGGCCCAGACUCCUACGGGAGGCAGCAGUGGGGAAUAUUGCACAAUGGGCGGAAGCCUGAUGCAGCAACGCCGCGUGCGGGAUGACGGCCUUCGGGUUGUAAACCGCUUUCGCAUGUGACGAAGCGUGAGUGACGGUAAUGGGUAAAGAAGCACCGGCUAACUACGUG